AGAAAAACAACAAAAAGGCCAAAAAACCCAGCCCAAAAUAGAGAACAAAACAAAAAUCAGAUAAGAUCCAGCUAGGCAGAGAUGGGGAGCUCUAGAGUCUUCUUAACAGCUAGCUGUUAACCAUUACAACCCAUCCCAUCAACAACAACAAAAGUAUCUGGGGAAACGCUACUAUCAUAAUUACCCCCAUUUAUUGAAACUCAAUUUCCAUUACUUUCCUCGGAAAUUCAAAAGAGCUUCUAUCUUCUUUUAUGCAAAGUUUCUUCCCAAAACCCUCCUGAAACACACCCAGCGUUUCAACUUCUCAAGAAUCCGUCCAUCGCUGAUCCUUAGACAGAGCUUCCUCCACUCUAGCAGUAUACAACGACAGCAGAUAAGUCGUUUCUCCCCUCAGUAAACCCUCUUUUGCAAGAAUAUGAGCAAUGUUGUUUUCCUCUCUGGGCAUAAAUCGAAAAUCACAGGAUUCAAAACCCAUGCUCAGAUGCUUUGAAUCAUUUAUGAAAACUUCAAUUUCUAACCUGUCUUCAUCUCGCUUUUGCAGUUUAUGGAUUACUGUUUGAGAGUCACCUUCAACCACUACCUUACUCAGACCUUGAUGUAACUCGAGUUGAAUCGCCUGAACAUACGCCACCGCUUUAGCAGCAAAAGCAGAAGCGUCAAAAUUGAUUUUGACCCACGGAUCUUUCGGAGCAGCCCAUCGACUCGUAGAAAACUGCCUCACUGGGCAUUCCUUGAAAACGUGCUCCCUGGAAUCCGGUCCGUUAUGGCACAUUCGGCAAGUUGCAAAUCCCAUAAGUCUCUUGUAGUGUAGAUUACAGAAAGUAGGCAAAAAGUUGUAAAAAAUCCUCUAAUUUGUAAUUUUAAUUUUAGGAGGUAAAUCUAGACUCCAUGAUCUUUUGUAAAAGUGGUUGUAAUUUGAUUGGGUUUGAGUCUAUCCCUCUUGUAAAAGAAGUUUGUGACCGUUGUGAACCAUGUACUCUCCUGUCGGCUCCCCACACUAGAUUAUAUGAUCUUCAUGCUGGUUCAUGGACAGAGGGAUACAUAAAAUUCGAUCCGCGUCCUUUUCCAAAAAGGUAUUGUAGAUCAAGUUAGAUUUUCGUUUCCUUGUACUCGCCUCAAUUAAAUCUACUAUUACUAACAAGUUCGAAUUAACACCCAAAUUCUAGACUCUAAAAUCACUGUUUCCAGGGACCCAUACAUCACUCUAGAUAGAGACAUUCUUACCAUCACCAAUCCUUCACCCCAUUCCUUUCAUAAGGAGACCUUUUGCAGACCAUAUACUCUGCCAGGUAAGAGAAGCGUUCGGAAGCUAGU